rnacentral:rRNA from 1 species
UGGGGAAUUUUGGACAAUGGGCGCAAGCCUGAUCCAGCCAUGCCGCGUGCAGGAUGAAGGCCUUCGGGUUGUAAACUGCUUUUGUACGGAACGAAACGGCGAGCUCUAAUACAGUUUGCUAAUGACGGUACCGUAAGAAUAAGCACCGGCUAACUACGUGCCAGCAGCCGCGGUAAUACGUAGGGUGCAAGCGUUAAUCGGAAUUACUGGGCGUAAAGCGUGCGCAGGCGGUUAUGCAAGACAGAUGUGAAAUCCCCGGGCUCAACCUGGGAACUGCAUUUGUGACUGCAUGGCUAGAGUGCGGCAGAGGGGGAUGGAAUUCCGCGUGUAGCAGUGAAAUGCGUAGAUAUGCGGAGGAACACCGAUGGCGAAGGCAAUCCCCUGGGCCUGCACUGACGCUCAUGCACGAAAGCGUGGGGAGCAAACAGGAUUAGAUACCCUGGUAGUCCACGCCCUAAACGAUGUCAACUGGUUGUUGGGAAGGUUCCUUCUCAGUAACGUAGCUAACGCGUGAAGUUGACCGCCUGGGGAGUACGGCCGCAAGGUUG